rnacentral:rRNA from 1 species
AGUGAACGCUGGCGGUAGGCCUAACACAUGCAAGUCGAACGGCAGCACAGUAAGAGCUUGCUCUUACGGGUGGCGAGUGGCGGACGGGUGAGGAAUACAUCGGAAUCUACUUUUUCGUGGGGGAUAACGUAGGGAAACUUACGCUAAUACCGCAUACGACCUACGGGUGAAAGCAGGGGAUCUUCGGACCUUGCGCGAUUGAAUGAGCCGAUGUCGGAUUAGCUAGUUGGCGGGGUAAAGGCCCACCAAGGCGACGAUCCGUAGCUGGUCUGAGAGGAUGAUCAGCCACACUGGAACUGAGACACGGUCCAGACUCCUACGGGAGGCAGCAGUGGGGAAUAUUGGACAAGGGGCGCAAGCCUGAUCCAGCCAUACCGCGUGGGUGAAGAAGGCCUUCGGGUUGUAAAGCCCUUUUGUUGGGAAAGAAAAGCAGCAGGUUAAUACCCCGCUGUUCCGACGGUACCCAAAGAAUAAGCACCGGCUAACUUCGUG